rnacentral:lncRNA from 1 species
AAUUACGUGUAUAUUACAGAAGGCCGCCUAUCUAAUGUUCUUAAUUCUCCCAAAAGUCCUACUCGUGAUCUCUCCCCUUUCCUCAAACACAAAAUCACGAUUGCCAUCUUUUUAUAUUCGCGAAAUUGUCGAGGCGUCGUGAAACUACAGCAUCCUAAUGAGAUUUUUCUUCUGGACUCGCUUCAUAUACCUUUCAAGCGUUCCAAUCAAUUCAUCUCGAAGUUCAUAGUCGCGCUCGAUUAGCGGAUAAGCCAAUUCCAGCAUGACGCAGAGAAUCGAAAGGGGAGAUGACCUGGUUGGUGUUAGACUAUUCUAGAAUUCUAAACAUUACCAAAAUUUAGGCCUCCUUUCAUACACCAUCGGCUGUCAUAUCUAAUCUGUUCUCUAGUCAAUAAUACCAUUGUUGAUAAUUCUCGAUAUUUUAGUCAAGGUUACUAAGUUUCGGGUAAGUUCUAUUCACCUAUGAUUCGGUGCUAUUCUCGAUUGAAAUUCUGGUUGUCUGCCUUUAAAAUGGUUGCAAACUUUUGUUCCAUCCUAUUCUAUUCCUACCAACUGUUUGAUUAAAUGCUUUAGAGGAUUAAUUAACAUUUAUUGGAUUUGCACUUUCGUAGCUAAUCAUUUUUCUCAUAACUAGAGAGAAACGAAUUUAUUUUUAUCAGUAUAGCAGCUUGAUUAUAAUCCUUUUACAUUUCUCAAAAAAAGGAAUAUAAUUCUUUUGUAUAGAUGACAUUCUCAUAACUACUUGAGGUUGUAUAAGUACACUUCAUGAUUUGUCUACCAUUCCAUUCUUCUUCAUAUGCUACGUGUGACACUAGUUGAGGCUAUCUAAGUACUGCCCCUUGACACUAUGUUAACGAUACCUGUUGCACUUGCAACAGCAGAGCUUCAUUAUGAAGCACCGAGCUGGAAAUUGUAGUACUACAUCUCUUGGUAAGAAGUUAAACAAAUCAAAUAUCAAAAGUCAGCCCUUUUGCUGCAUCUUUUCAUGUUGAAAUAAUUUUGUAUGGUACUGAUUAGAUUAUUGACAUUGCUUGGGUGUUCAAUUUGUUCUUACAACUACAGAACCUGAAAUUCAUUUACCACAUACGACAUACUGAUGCACCAGUCGAUGCAAAAGGUAAUUAAUCAAAUUAUAGGACAAUCUUUGCAUCAAUAGAUAGUUUAUUUAAUUAUUUAUUCCCGACACCUACUCUAUAUUGAUCCAGUGAAAUGAUACUCUAUAAUCUAAUUAUUUGUUUCACUGUAAAAGACCUAAGACUAAGAUAUAAUGUAACACUGCAGACUAAUAUUUGUAAUAUUGUUUCUCUUUGCUUUAGCUUACAGAAAGCAUUAUCCAUCAUUCUUGGAAUAAUGAAAUAUGAUGGUUAGAAAAAGAUUGCUCAAGAUGUGUAUCCACCUAAACGGCUGGCUGAGAAGGGAAUAUCAUUUGUGAAAAACUUCCUUCAGCUGUAUGUAACUCCAUCUCUAUUAAUGGAAUGAUCUUUUCCAUAAGCUAAUGAUGCUGAAUUUAUACAUUUCUCUUGAGCUUCUAAUAUUGAAUCGUUUUUAUGUUUUCUUGCAGAAGGUAGGAACCACAUGACUUAUCUAUACUUCUUCAAGAUAGUGUACGAGGUACAAUCAUGUUAUUCUUUCCGCUACUUAGUAGUUUCCUAAAUUACCUUAGUGAUGAUUCCAUUCUUUUUUUGUUUCAGUUCUUGGAACAACACCUUAGAGAAUAUGAGCAACUAAUAUAAAGGAAUCCUCCACUUGGGAAAGCAUGGACACUAAAGCUUUUCCAUCAAAAGGACGAUACUAAAGCUAUGACUGGGUAGAUUGUUAUGGAAGUUUAAGGGAAAAGUUAUGUAAUUGUAUGUGAAGUAACUCUGUAUUUGAUUCAAAUUGUUUGUAAUAUACUGAAAGUAUUGAAAUAAGAAUAGAUGUUAUUGUGAAUAAAUUGUUGUUACUU